UAGACCUGAGGUCAGGCAAGACCACCCGCUGAACU
rnacentral:rRNA from 1 species